AGAGUUUGAUCAUGGCUCAGGAUGAACGCUAGCUACAGGCUUAACACAUGCAAGUCGAGGGGAAACGACAUCGAAAGCUUGCUUUUGAUGGGCGUCGACCGGCGCACGGGUGAGUAACGCGUAUCCAACCUGCCCACCACUUGGGGAUAACCUUGCGAAAGUAAGACUAAUACCCAAUGACGUCUCUAGAAGACAUCUGAAGAGAUUAAAGAUUUAUCGGUGAUGGAUGGGGAUGCGUCUGAUUAGCUUGUUGGCGGGGUAACGGCCCACCAAGGGCGACGAUCAGUAGGGGUUCUGAGAGGAACGGUCCCCCACAUUGGAACUGAGACGACGGUCCCAAACUCCGUACGGGAGGCA
rnacentral:rRNA from 1 species